rnacentral:rRNA from 1 species
ACGAACGCUGGCGGCGUGCUUAACACCUUCCAGUCGCACGGAAAGGCCCUGCUUUUGUGGGGUGCUCGAGUGGCGAACGGGUGAGUAACACGUGAGUAACCUGCCCUUGACUUUGGGAUAACUUCAGGAAACUGGGGCUAAUACCGGAUAGGAGCUCCUGCUGCAUGGUGGGGGUUGGAAAGUUUCGGCGGUUGGGGAUGGACUCGCGGCUUAUCAGCUUGUUGGUGGGGUAGUGGCUUACCAAGGCUUUGACGGGUAGCCGGCCUGAGAGGGUGACCGGCCACAUUGGGACUGAGAUACGGCCCAGACUCCUACGGGAGGCAGCAGUGGGGAAUAUUGCACAAUGGGCGGAAGCCUGAUGCAGCAACGCCGCGUGCGGGAUGACGACCUUCGGGUUGUAAACCGCUUUCGCCUGUGACGAAGCGUGAGUGACGGUAAUGGGUAAAGAAGCACCGGCUAACUACGUG